GCGUGCGCAGGUCGGUUAUGUAAGACAGAAUGUGAAAUCCCCGGGCUCAACCUGGGAACUGCAUUUGUGACUGCAUGGCUAGAGUACGGUAGAGGGGGAUGGAAUUCCGCGUGUAGCAGUGAAAUGCGUAGAUAUGCGGAGGAACACCGAUGGCGAAGGCAAUCCCCUGGACCUGUACUGACGCUCAUGCACGAAAGCGUGGGGAGCAAACAGGAUUAGACUACCCUAGU
rnacentral:rRNA from 1 species